UCCAGAUGUAGUUAGUACGUAGGGCUUGUUUCUGCACUGCUUUGCUUAUACUGAACCUCCUGGAAACCAUAUGUCUGUGACUCAUGGGGCACUGAGCCCAGGCUAAUCAGCUGUGUUGACAAGCAGGGUAUAUUUUAUUGGGCUUAAAGCCACCUUAAUGUGGUCAUGCAUUUUCCAGAAUUCUUUGUGGACAUGCUCGUUAUCGGAGGAUUUUAAAGUGGCUCUGACUUUCUCUCUGUUCAGUUAGACUGCAAGGCCUUUAAAGAGACCAUGCAGCAAUACCUCUUUUUUUUUUUCCUCUCUGUGCCCCAAAGACCAAGACGGGAUGGGAAAGGUUCUGGAGGGACACAAAAAAAGUAGAGCCAAGGUGAGGACCAGGAAGGUGGUCCUUUAUUUUGCUAUGAGAUUCAGACUGAUCACUUUGCCAGCUGUCAAGGCAAAUGUUGCUGUGUAGACCUUAGUCUCAACGACACUUAGUUUCCUGGUGAUGGGUGUCUUCAAAGGACUGGACAGAACAAACUUCCUACUGCAUCUGCAUUUUAGGUUCUCUGCUCUGUAAGUAUGCUGUGCCGUCUGGCAUUUCCAAGCUUGUUAACCAGGAAUGUUUUGACUUAAGAGCAUCUGGAAAAUUUAUAGUAAUGGUUUUGAUAUGAUUUGAUACCUUUUAGGUGAAUGAAACUUUGUAUCUGGCUAAAAUAAGCAUGAAAGGUAUUUUUAUAUUGAUUUAUUAGUCCCUAUAUUUGGCCAAAUUUUCCAUGAUUGUUAGAGAAAUCAGUAUUUUUCUUGUAGUACAUCACACACAUGCUGUAAACAGCAUGAAGACAAUAUUUGUUAGGUAGCAUCUGAUAAAAUUCGUUGUCUUUCCACUAUGUCCAACAGGAAAGGUUAGGAGAUGUUUUAAUUACCUUGAAGAUAACGUUUCAUAAGACUUAUAAGGUGUCGAGAGGUGUCUCUGAACGUAGAGAGACAGGAAUGUUUAAGCAGUGUUAUGUGUAUAGGUGUAUAUUUUCCAACUUUAAGAAAGAUGUGUUUGCAACCUAACUGCACUAACUUUUGCUGAAAUAAAC
rnacentral:lncRNA from 1 species